rnacentral:lncRNA from 1 species
GUUUCCAUAUUUUGUCAUUGGUCAACGUCAUAAUUUUUCUGCAAUGCUAGAGGAAGGUAGAGAGGGACCAGCUGAUACGAGAUCGUGCAAAGGCCCUGAUAGAACUGGAAAUGGUACAAAAACUGAAAGCAGAAGAGCUCCUGAUCAAGCAGAAAACUGAAGCACAUUAUCAGAAGAUAAUUAUUGAACAGUAUCCAAGAAAGAUGACAGCAGAACUGACCAACAAGUCUGGAACGUCUAAUUUGGCAACGGUUGUAGAGGAUGAUGAGACUAUUAUUUAGAGAGCGAUACCUUAUGAGUGUAACAAAAUUGUAGUUUGAAGCAGAAGCCAUAGCAUGAAACAUAUGGCAAAAAUCAACACCUGGGACCGUGGACUAAUCUCUUAAGUCACUGCCAUGGAUGGUAUCUACACUCACAGAUGUAUGUCUCUAGUAGGUGGUCGGAAGAAGUUAAGGGAGGGAAAACCUGACCUUAAAUAGAAUCUAUACACCUUCAUCCAAAAAAAAUGGAAUAUGUAUUCAAAAAGCGCACAGCUAUAUAAGAGUGAGAAAACAAGGGUUGAAAAUCAAAUUAUAUAUUGCCAAAUGAAGAACAACCAUAGUUUGCGAUUGAGUGGAUAAUAUUAUGUGAAUAGAAAAGAAACUGGAUAAAUGUACUGCAUACUGACAAAAUAAACUCAUGUACACUGAUUGGCUGUGAACUAGA